UACGGAGGGGGCUAGCGUUAUUCGGAAUUACUGGGCGUAAAGCGCACGUAGGCGGCUUUGUAAGUCAGAGGUGAAAGCCUGGAGCUCAACUCCAGAACUGCCUUUGAGACUGCAUCGCUUGAAUCCAGGAGAGGUGGGUGGAAUUCCGAGUGUAGAGGUGAAAUUCGUAGAUAUUCGGAAGAACACCGGUGGCGAAGGCGGCAUCCUGGACCGGCAUUGACGCUGAGGCGCGAAAGCCAGGGGAGCAAACGGG
rnacentral:rRNA from 1 species